rnacentral:rRNA from 1 species
GAUGAACGCUGGCGGUAUGCUUAACACAUGCAAGUCGAACGGACUCUUCGGAGUUAGUGGCGGACGGGUGAGUAACGCGUGAGAAUCUGGCUUUGGGUUCGGGACAACCACUGGAAACGGUGGCUAAUACCGGAUGUGCCGAGAGGUAAAGGAGAAAUUGCCUGAAGAUGAGCUCGCGUCUGAUUAGCUAGUUGGUGAGGUAAAGGCUCACCAAGGCAGCGAUCAGUAGCUGGUCUGAGAGGAUGACCAGCCACACUGGGACUGAGACACGGCCCAGACUCCUACGGGAGGAAGCAGUGGGGAAUUUUCCGCAAUGGGCGAAAGCCUGACGGAGCAAUACCGCGUGAGGGAAGAAGGCUCUUGGGUUGUAAACCUCUUUUCUUAGGGAAGAACAAAAUGACGGUACCUAAGGAAUCAGCAUCGGCUAACUCCGUG